rnacentral:rRNA from 1 species
AAUCAACGCUGGCGGCGUGCCUCAGACAUGCAAGUCGAACGAUUAAAGCUCUCUUCGGAGAGUGCAUAAAGUGGCGCACGGGUGAGUAACACGUAAGUAAUCUACCCUCGAGUGGGGAAUAACGUCCGGAAACGGACGCUAAUACCGCAUAAUGCAGCGGCAUCGACAAGAUGACAGUUGUUAAAGAUUUAUCGCUUGAAGAGGAGCUUGCGGCAGGUANAGCUAGUUGGUAAGGUAAUGGCUUACCAAGGCUACGAUCU